CCUGCCCAGUGAAAUAUUCAACGGCCGCGGUACCCUAACCGUGCAAAGGUAGCAUAAUCACUUGCCUAUUAAUUGUAGGCUGGAAUGAAAGGACUAACGAAAUAAAAGCUGUCUCUAUAAGCACUAAUAAAAAUUAAUCUCUAAUUGAAGAAGAUUAGAUACAUUCGAAGGACAAGAAGACCCUAUAGAGCUUUAUCCACUUAAAAUACUAGAGCUAUUUUUAAAGAUUCGGUUGGGGCAACCAGGGAAUAAAACAUCCCCAGCCUAAGAAAUAUACUUCUGAGCAUUGACCCUUAAAAAAGAUCAUAAAAUCAAGCUACCUUAGGGAUAACAGGCUAAUCUUAUUAAAGAGUUCUUAUUUAUAGUAAGGUUUGGCACCUCGAUGUUGGCUUAGGGGUACAGUAUAGCGCAAAAGCUUUACACUGAUGGUUUGUUCAACCAAUAACCCCCUACAUGAGCUGAGUUCAGACCGGCGUAAGCCAGGUUAGUUUCUAUCCUCGAAUAUCCAUCUACUUACAGUACGAAAGGACCUAACUAAGAGUAAUAAUUACAUCAAGGAAAAUAUAUAAAACAACCCCACCUACAACAAAUAUAACUACUA
rnacentral:rRNA from 1 species